rnacentral:rRNA from 1 species
UACGUAGGGGGCUAGCGUUGUCCGGAUUUAUUGGGCGUAAAGAGCGUGUAGGCGGCCAGUGUAGUCGGUGAAUAACUCGAGGCUUAAACCUCGAGAUGUCAGUCGGAAACCACUUGGCUAGAGUCCGGAAGAGGAGAGUGGAAUUCCUGGUGUAGCGGUGAAAUGCGCAGAUAUCAGGAGAACACCAGUGGCGAAAGCAGGCUCUCGUCG